GGGACCACAUGUGGCAUCCUAUGACCCUGCUUUCUUCUGUACACCCCUUGCCAACCACAAAUGGAUUGGGAAUGGGGCCCGUCCCCAGUAGCCCCUGUCUAUGUCUGGCAUAGCAUGAUGAGCUGGGGCCAAUUCUCUGCCUCUCUCGGGAAAGAGUCCCCCAUCAGACACAAGGAGAUGAGAGGAGCAGACACACAGAGAGCCCCCAUCACAUUGAUGGUGCAACCCUAAAAGCUUAGGAUCCAGUCAGUCCACCUCGGAGCAGACCUACAUUUCCAUCCUGAGCCCAGAGAAUCUUCUGGCUGGAAACCAAAGCAAACCGAGAGCAGCUCAUUCAUAGGACCCCAGUUGACCACAUCCACAGCAGAGAAAGGGGGGCUGCGGCCCAUAGACUUGGGGCUAUGCCUGCUGCCAGCACAGGAGAAAACACACCAGGGGCUGGAGACCCCAAGGGUCCCCCAGAAGAGGGGUGAUGGUGUAUUUUCCUAAGAGUUUUUUCUCCACCAUAUUUCCUGGAUGUAUCUCCGGGGUUGAUUCCACACAUCUCGCCAGCCCAGAAUGGGGAGAUCUGGCCUUUAUGUGUCAAAGGAUCUAUGUAGCAAUGGGGUUCAGCUUCUGCUCUGCAUGGCUUUAGGGAUUGCCAGCACGUGCUCCCCUUUUUCAUCCCAUCACAGUGAGCUACAAUUAUGUUUGGAGCAAGCCAAAAGAAGAGUGAAGCAGGCUGGGUCUGCAUUAGAAACGUCUGAAGUUCAUACCAUAGGUUAGUGAGGUGAAGACAGACCAGGUUCCAUCCUAGGCUAUAGGCCACAGAACUCAACUUACGUCCAAUAAAUGAUCACUGUGUGC
rnacentral:lncRNA from 1 species